rnacentral:lncRNA from 1 species
AUUAUAAAUUGACUCAAGACCGAGUCGAGUGGCAUAGUUGGCUAAGGUAAAUGUAACCUUAGGAAAGAGUGAUAAUUGAGAAAGACUUGUUAAUGUUAUAAAGAAUGGCAAAUGUGUAUGAUGAGCCUAAGGUGCGAGUGCCCUUAGCAAAGAAUAAAGAAUAAAGAAUAAAGAAUAAAGAAUGAAGAAUAAAGAAUAAAGAAUAAAGAAUAAAGAGUAAAGAAUGGCUAAUGAUAAAGAAUAGCAAAUUCUAAAAAAAGG